CAGUGAUCCUUGGGUGUUUUCCUUCAGCCUUGUCAGCUCAAUCUGAAGAAAUGACAUGCUAGACUGUUGUUUUGGGAGCUAACUAUUUGAAAUGUGAUGCAGAUCUGGCAAAGUUGCAAAAGGUUACACCAACGAAGCCGAGAAGAUGCAAGCUUUAUCACUGGUGGAUAUGGGAGCCUUGCCGUCUGGGGUGGGAGUCAGAAGGCAACAACUGGAGCUGUAGGAUAUUAAAGGACUUGGCAAAGUUAUCAUAGAUUGUGACAUAUUUAUCAGGAGCUUGAGCUUCUCUGAAAAUUCUGACUACACCAACUGUAUCUGUUACUUGAUUAAAAAUACUCAUAAUAA